GCCAGGCAUGGUGGUGCAUGCUUGUAGUCCCAGCUACUCAGGAGGCUGAGUUGGGAGGAUUGCUUGAGCCCAGGAGUUUGAGGCUGCAGUGAGCUGUGAUUACACCACUGCACCCCAGCCUGGGCAACAGUGAGACCCUAUCUCAA
ensembl:misc_RNA Metazoa_SRP Metazoan signal recognition particle RNA